rnacentral:lncRNA from 1 species
AUCAAGUUGAUUUCUAAAGUUCAUUUGGAAGAGUAAGUACAAUUAACUAGGAAACCCUUGGGAAUAACAACCAUAAGAGGAGAAUCCUACCAGAUAUUAAAACAUAUUAUGAAAUCUCUCUAAGUGUGCAUGAAUAGAUGGUUUAAUGGAAUAGAACAGAAAAUUUAGAAUAGACCCAAUGACAUAUGGAAAUUUAGUAUAUGAUAAAGAUGGUGUCUCAAGUUGGUAGGAGAAAGGUGGGCUUUUUGAUAAGUGACACAGGAUAACUAAAUAGCUAUCUGAAAAAAGAUAAAAUUGAAUCUGUUUAUUAUAACAUAUAAAGUUAUAUGAGACAAAUUUCAAAAGGAUCAGAUAUUUAAAUAUAGAAACAGUAAUAUUUUACAAAUACUAGAAGAAAGCAUAAGUGAAUUCAUCUAUAAACUGAGAGUGGUGAGAACUUUUGUAACUAUAAUUCAAAAUCUAGACUUGAUAAGGAAAAAGAUUUUUUAAAAAUUAACUGCAUAGAAAAACUUUAGAAGUCUUAUGGAAAAGAGCUCAUAAAUAAGUAAAAAGAUAAAUGAUAAAAAUGUUUUUAUAUAGAAAAAAUUAAUAUCUUUAUAAAAGGCCUAUAAAAAUAGUGAUGAGAAAGAUCAACCCUUUAGAAAAAUGGACAAGAGAUAAGAAAGGUUCAGGGAAAAGGAAAUGUAAAUAACAUUGCAGAGCCCAGACCCAGACCCAGCUCAACUACAAAUGAGAUUUAUUCAUUCUUGAGUUGGGGGUUACCAAGACCACCCUCAGGUUCAAUGACUCACUGAGAAGACUUGCAAGACUCAGCAUAUAGUCAUACUCAUGGCUACAAUUUAUUAUAGUAAAAGAAUACAAAGCAAAAUCAGCAAAGGGAAGAGGCACAUGGGGUGAAGGCUAGGGGAAACCAGGUGCGAGCUGCCAAGGGUCUUCUCCAAGUGGAGCCACACAGCACAUGCUUAUCUCCCCAGCAAGGAACUGUGACAAUACUUAUGAAAUGCUGUCAACCAGAGAUGCUCGUUAGAGACUUAGCGACUAGAAACUUUAGUGAUGGCUGAUCAUGUAAGUACCCUCUGCCUAGCAUGUACUAAAAUUCCAUACUCCCAGAAAAAAAGGCAGGUAUGCAGCAUAAAUCACAUUGUUUGUAUAAAUGCUUUAGAAAGUGUAAGCUCCUCUUAACAGUGAGGUGCUACGAACUGUCUUGGAAGUCCAUGUUCUCAGAUGCCAGCCCAAGCUUGUAAGCAGGUCUUUCAAAGGGGAGCAGCCAAGCCUGCUAUAUUAACUCUUUUCUACACAAUCCACCACACUAAUAACAUAUACUUUCCCAAGGCCAACUAUUGUUUACCUC